AUACAAGUUUCCUUUUUUCACUUCCUUCUUCCUAUUAGUGUUGUCCUCUUAAAAGCCUUAGCUAAUCCAAGUUAGUAAACUCAUUUUUCGUCCAACAAAAACCUAUAAAUCUGCUACAAUAUCUCCAAUUCCCGAAUAAGAGAGAUGAAACCUCCUACCAUAGCAAGACCGGCAAUCAAAAUCUUCCCGACUUUAGCAAAUGGCUUUCUAGUUCGAUUCUCUUACUUAUCCCGUGCUUAAUAAGCGCGUGUCAAUAUUUAGUUAUAGCUUCCAAAUUUUAUUAUUUUGUUUUUUCGAAUUUUAUAUAUAUAUAUAUAUAUAUAUAUAUAUAUAUAUAUAUAUAUAUAUAUAUAUAUAUGUGUGUGUGUGUGUGUGUGUGUGUAUAAUUAUUUAUUUUAUUUUAUUAUUAUAAUUAUUUUUGGGUAAUCGGUUGAGUGUAGGAGGUUUUCUUGGAUACGCCUGUUUCCUUUUUUAUUCCAUAGCGAUUUUUAGUUCUUUUUUGCUGAUGUAUCAGAAACAAAAGUUACUCAUUCUUCUGGAACAGCUAGAGGAAGGCUCCUAAUUUCUCAGGUAAAUAGGUUGCAUAAAAGGCUUUUCUGUUUUGAACUCUAAUUUAGCUUCGCUAUUGAAUAAGUCAACUUUACCGUUUAUUCUAUUUUUAUGUAUUGUUGUACGUUUAUUGUAAUUGUAGCCGAUAUAUUUCAUUUUAAUUUGGAAGAAUUGUAAUUAAAUGUUGAAGUUACGAAUUAAGAUUUUAAUGCUUAUAUACCAUGAAUGGUUGUUUGAAAUAUGAAUUUAUUAGUUGCUAAAUUUUGGCUUAUUAUAUUUUUAAUUUGGGGGUGUCAUUUUUAGUUAAAUUUUGAAUUUAUGAAUUGAGUAUUUGUUGUCGUAUGUUUAUUGAUCGAUUAGGCAACAUUAGGAAUUGGUAAUGUGACAGAAAAAAGUUUAGUUCAAUGUAACAUUGGCAAUAAGAGUCCAGUUUUACUCUGCAUAUUACUGCCCAAUAAAAUAGAGUCUUGCUAUUUGGAUUUGGAGUUCGAGGAGACUGAUGAUGUGGUUUUUUGGUGAUUCGUCCAUGAAGUGUUUACCUCCCUAGUUUUUAUGUCAAUCACAGUAAGCAUUUCGAUCCACAUCGCAAUACUUAUCCUUUUUUCCUUAAUCUGUUCAUUUUCAGUGUAGUUUCGUUUUGUUGAGGUGUAAUGUUCUGUCAAUUAGCAUUUCGGUGAUUGAAUCAUUAUGCUUUUCUAUUUUUCGGUAGGCCAAGGAGGGAAGCAAUGAGAGAUUAGAGAAAAGUUAUAUUUGCUCUCCAAACUCUAUAAAUCAUGCCCUUCACAUUAAUUUUGCUUGUAGCAUGAUGUUUCCUUAACACUCCUUUUAUGUCUUGUAAGUUCUUUUAUUUUUUUAACAUCUUAAACCUUCCUCCUCCCAAAGAUUGAAAACAGGGCAAGUUUUUCUAUUUUUCAUGUGUCCAAUGAAUUAGAACACCGAUUGUACAACAAUCUCUGUGAGAUCAUCUUUGGUUUUUAUCUUGAUUCUUUAUUACCUUCACAUCAUGUAUAAUAGAUAUUCGUUUUUAUGGCAUUGUAGUUUAAACCAGAAAAAAUAGAAGCCAUUAUAGAAGAUUUUAAUGAAACAGGAAAACUUACUCCUACAGAGCUAUAUCUUAGUGGAACAAAAUAUAUAGUGAUUCGAGGGGAGCCAGUAGCUGUUAUAAGAGGAAAAAAGGGUAACGAUCUAAUGUAAAAUGUGGUUUUUAUUAUCUAUUGAUAAAUGAUUGGGAAACUUGAUUGGUUUUCAAUUUUUCUUAAAUUUGUUGCUUGCAACAGUUUUUGCAGUCAUUUUGUUUCCAUUCAAGUUCAAUUCCUGCAACUUUUGUUUUCGAUGAUGUUUUUCAUGGCUGUAACAUACAACAAUUUUACUUAAUAAUCUACCAUAAAAAAAUUACAAAAAGGGGAUUCCAAUGGACUCUAUUUUUUAGAAGUCCUGAGAGACAUUAUCAGGUAUUUCAUUUUUCCGCCUUUUGACUUCAAUGCUGAAUAGCCUUUGAAUAUAAUAUGCCUUUUGUACGUUUUCUCUGUGCUUUAACCCUAAUCUCACUCUUUCUCUCUGGAUCGUAACAUAAAAUCCCAAAUAAUCUGACCCCCAUUCACUAGAAAUCAAUUCCUAAUUUGUGUCUUUUUGCAAAACUCUUCACUUCUGAUUCCACAAAUGGAUUAAAAUUUUAUGAUUUUUUUAUUGUUAUUUUUUAUCGAAAUUUUUACUUCUUUCUUGAUAAUUUGAUUUUAUUUUUGUUGCUUCUCUUUUAUGUGAAUAUUCGUGAGGCUUAUAUGAUAGUAAAUUUUCUAAUGAUGAAAUUUUGAUUUGUUUGUGAUUUACAUUGAAUCUCUCUUACUCUUACAAUUUAGUGAUGGCCGAGUAAAUACUUUCCCAUUUGUUCAUCAUUGUUUUCAUGGUACCUUUUCAUCAUGCAUUGUUAAGUGAACAAUAACCAUUUGCCUGCACACAGUAUUCAUAUAUUUUUCAAUUGAUACACCUCUUGAAUGGUGAUAUAGGGAUCUCCUAUGCUAACCACCGCGCUAAAGUAUUUGACACUAAGAUCACUUGGGGCUUGAGCUGUUCUUCUUUAUUUGGCCAUGCAAAGAGUCUGCAACGACCCUAAAACUCCACUCUUUGCCACUGGUAAAUGACUACUCUACACUUUUUUUUUUCCUUCUUUUUCAUUUGUUUAUACAUUCAUGCUUUAUUCUUUCCAUUCAGAAUAAGAAUUUUUUUCCAUAUUAAGCAAUAAUUACAACCCUUUGAAUCUUUUUUUAGCAAACAAUUUGAAUCCCUUGAUUGUAUUCUUGUCAUUUUUAUAAGGAAUUUCUGAAGAAACCUUAAUACUAUAAUCUUCCAAUUAAUAAGGCUAAAAUCUCGCCCAGACAAUUGAAAAAUGGAGGACCCCUAUUGCUAAUUUCCCUCUUACAGAUACAUAGUAAAGCAACUUUUAAGUUCUUGUUUACACAUAUAUAUAGAACAAAAUUUAAAUUUCACAUUUCCUUUAUCAUUACGUUUUGUAUCCAUACUCUAUCCAUUAGACUCUUGAAAGGUUUAGUACGAUAGGACUAAAGAAUAAAAACUGGUUUUGUAGGUAUUUGACCUCUAUGAUUCUCUUAUGCCAUUGCCAACGUGUAGUACUAUUUAUCAUUUCACAGAUUCCUCUGAUACUAUAUUGUUGUUUGUUUACGAAACCGUUAAUGUAAAAUUUUCCUUAAGUGGAAACUGGUUUUGUAGGUUCUUGAUCUCAGCGAUUCUCUCAUGCAAAUUGAUGGAACAAGUUAAUAUAUUUCCUCAAAGUCUUUGGGAUUUGCAGCCCAGUAGACUCCUCAAGAAUGGUUAGUCCGUUAAUAAUGUUUUUCAUUGCUUCAAUCGAAUAUAUUCAUUGACCUUUUGUUACGUGAGUGGACACACAAGUUUUCUGUUACGAGAAAGAGUUAUAGCUGUGACCCUCUGUGUGCCUUUGGCUGAAAUGCUAGGUCCAACACCUAUGGCUGCCUUUCAGAUAUGCUUACAGGUCUGGACGACAUUGUCACUUAUUGUUGAUGGUUUGGCUAUUGCAGUUCAAGUAUCAAAUAUUGAAUAGAUUGUUGAAUCUUUUUUCUCCAAAUUGAAUCAUUUGUAGAAGCAAAUCUUAAAGUAAUCAAACAAAUUUGGGGUAGACUAUAAAUCAGUUUAAUAAAUUUGUAAGAUCAAGAAAAUCUACUUCGUGUCAGUCGUUACUCUGUCGAAAAUUGAACCAAAAUGCUUUAAUGAAAGUGAUGUGCUUACACUUCCUCUUCUCACUGUAAAUUUUAAAAACAAUAUCUUAGUCUUUAAGCUCCAGAUUCAUAGUAGUGGAUGAAAACCUACCAUAUGUUGAAGCAAGUCAAAAAGAUAUUGGGAUGUGUGUCAAUAGUUUUAAGCUCGCUUUACCAUCCUCCUUGGAACCGACUUUGAGACGGAUGCAGAGUGGGAAAUCUGAUUCUACAAACUUAGAUAUUUUGUUGAAGACUCAGACUUCAUCACAAGUUGAUGAAGUGUAUAAGGGUUUAGAGUUUAUGAUGAAAUGUGACCUUCGCAAGACAUAAAAGUAUGGUUUUUAAUUUCAUGAUAACUUUGGGUUUGUUCGUUUUUGAUGAAUUUUUAGUCUAAUUCGAUUGGAAUCGAGCCAAUGAAUAAAACACAGUGCCUUCACCCUAACGCAAGACCAAUUUUAGGCAAAAUCCAUCGUUUAGGCGUUUUUGCUAUUUAUGGUAAUUUUUGUUUUUGUAAUAUCUUUUUCCAUGAAAUUCGGAUUUAUAUUCCGUUUGUUGGAGGAUGAUCCUGAAGAUAAGGAUUUUCCAUCUUAGUAGUUAUCUCAUAUUUUUCUAUUUUUAGAAAAAUAUCUUUUUAUUUUAUUUUCCGAAUUUUGCUAGGUUUUUUUUUCUAUUAAAGGCGUUGUAAACCCUUUGAGGCAACAAUUCUUGAAUUCAAUAAAAUUUUCCUUGAGAGUUUUCUCAUUCUGUGAUUGUUCAUUUUUCCUAUAAUCUUCCGCUACGUCAGUUGGUAUCAGAGCCGAAAUCGUUCCUUCUGCAUGCCGCCAAGGAGAUGUUCUGAAGCCCGUGAUACCCCAGUAGAGGAGAUAUAUAGACGUGAUGAAAUCGCACAGCUACGUUAACAAGUGGAAUUGCUGACACAGCAGAUCGCUGCGCUUAUGCCACAGCAGCCUGCGCCUGCAGGCCAACAAUUUGAGGAUUCUGAUGAUGAGAAUCCGUUUGCACAGCUUGAACAACCAUUGGAUCCGCCAGUUCGCCAGAGAAGGGGUAGUCAGGAGGACAACCGACGUUGGGAAUCAGGAUUUAAGGUUGAUAUUCCAGAAUUUCAUGGUGGGUUAAGUCCAGAAGAAUUCUUGGAUUGGGUGACUGCAGUGGAGGAGAUCUUGGAGUUUAAAGAGGUUCUUGUUGAUAAAUGUGUGCCUCUCGUUGCGACGAGGCUUCGUGGGCGAGCAGCGGCGUGGUGGCAGUAGACUAAAGUGACUAGAUCCAGGCUAGGGAAUUUCAAGCUUGCAUCGUGGGACAAAUUGAAGAAGCAUAUGAAGAAACAGUUUCUGCCUGACAAUUAUUUGCGGAUCAUGUACCAACAAUUGCAGAAUCUGCGUCAAGGUGGGAAAAUAGUUAGUGAUUAUACCACGAAUUUUUAUAUGUUGGUUACGAGGAACGAGAUGAUGGAGACGGAGGAGCAGUUGGUGUCACGGUACGUGGGUUGUCUUCGUUCCCAAAUACAAGAUACUCUCAAUAUGUUUGGUCCUGCGAUAGUUUCUGAAGCACAUCAGAGGGCAAUACAGAUAGAGAAGCAACAAUCCAGAAGAACUACUAGUCCUUUCAUUGCAGGGAGUUCUUCCAAUAACCCACAACAACAGGUGACACAUCCUGGUAAUCUUGCUCAAUCUGGUCCUCUUAGAACAAAUCCUGUUCAACAACCAACACGUCCUAGGGUUGGUAUUCGUUGUUUUGGAUGCGGAGUUACAGUCCAUAGGCAGUCUGAGUGCCCUAAAAAUCCACGCAGGGGACUCUUUGUUGAUGAGGGGAAUGGCGAUUAUGAAGGUCCACCUGUAUUUGACGGUGAAGGCGUAGAAGAAGCAACAGAAGAGGAAAAGGUUGUGGUUGGUGAUGUGGGUCAGGCACCGAUGGUGAGGAGGAGUUUCUUGACUCCCUUGGAGAAUAACACUGAUUGGUUGCGUAACAAUAUCUUUCAAUCGACAUGUACUGUUGGAGGGAAGGUAUGUAAAUUUGUUAUUGAUUCUGGUAGUUGCGAGAAUGUGGUGGCUGAGGAGGUUGUUAAGAAGUUGGGUUUGCAGACUGAGAAACAUCCCAAACCGUACAAAUUAUCCUGGCUGAAGAGAGGCAACGAUGUAGAAGUGUCUCACCGUGCUCGAAUCAGCUUCUCAAUUGGACCUACCUACAAGGAUCAGGUUAUAGUACAGAUGGAUGCAUGUCAUUUAUUGUUUGGGAGGCCGUGGUAGUUUGACAGGCACUCACUGCAUGAUGGACAUACCAACACGUACAGUUUUCUGUUUGGGAGAAAGAAAAUUCUGUUACUACCGAAUAAGGGUUUAGUGCAAACAGUUGGGAACAACGCCAAUUUACUGACCAAAAAGAAGUUCGAGACCGAGAUGGAGGAGUCUGGGGUAGUGUAUGUGCUGGUGGGAAAAUUGAUACAGUGAGCAUGAAAUCCCUCUUGCAGUUCAGCAUUGCUAAAGAAGUUUCAUGAAGUUUUCCCAAAAGAUCUUCUAGAUGGAUUAUCACUACUACGGGAUAUUCAGCAUCAGAUUGACUUGGUGCCUGGUGCUGCCCUACCUAACCGAGCGCAUUACAGAAUGAGCCCCACUGAGCAUGAGGAGUUGCGCAGGCAAGUUGAGGAGCUUCUGGCAAAAGGACACAUCAGGGAAAGUCUUAGUCCUUGUGUUGUUCCUGCUCUUCUCACGCCGAAGAAGGAUGUCAUGUGGCGCAUGUGCGUGGAUAGUAGGGCGAUCAAUAAGAUUAUGGUGCGUUACCAUUUUCCUAUUCCUCGCCUGGAUGAUUUGUUGGACCAGCUUACCAGUGCUUGUGUGUUUAGCAAGCUUGAUUUGAAGAGUGGGUACCAUCAGAUUCGGAUCAGACAUGGGGAUGAGUGGAAGAUCGCAUUUAAGACGAGGGAAGGAUUGUACGAGUGGUUAGUCAUGCCCUUCGGCCUCUCAAAUGCACCCAGUACGUUCAUGCUGGUUAUGAAUCAGGCUCUUCGCUCAUUCGUCGGUAAAUUUGUUGUGGUCUACUUUGAUGAUAUUUUAAUUUAUAGUGCUAACGAUGAUGAUCAUGUCCAGCACGUUGGGGAAGUUCUUUCAGUUCUUCGCAUGGAUAAAUUCUAUGCUGCAGUGAAGAAGUGUUCAUUUCUUAUUGAUAGUGUGGUGUUCCUGGGUUAUGUGGUGUCGAAGGCGGGGUUAGCAGUUGAUACAUCUAAAGUAGAGGCGAUCAGUGGCCACAACCCAAGACUGUCACUGAGGUGCGGAGUUUUCAUGGCCUUGCUUCCUUCUAUCGCAAGUUCAUACCACAUUUUAGCAGCAUCAUGGCACCAAUUACAGAUUGCAUGAAGGAUGGUAGGUUCCAGUGGACUCACGAGGCAGAGUCGUCUUUCCAAUUGAUUAAGCAGAAGUUGACUACUGCUCCAAUUUUGGUGUUGCUUGACUUUACCCAACCAUUUGAGCUACAUUGUGAUGCUUCGAAAGUGGGUAUUGGCGGUGUGCUGAGUUAGAACAACCGCCCUGUUGCAUAUUUCAGUGAGAAGCUUUCUAGCUCGAAGUCUCGGUAUGAUACUUAUGAUGUGGAGUUCUAUGCAAUAGUCUAGGCCGUUCGACAUUGGCGUCACUAUUUGUUCCAUAAGGAGUUCAUUUUGUAUAUGGAUCAUGUCGCCCUUAAACACUUUGGUACUCAAGAUAAGGUAUCUGCUCGACAUGCCUCUUGGAUUGCUUACUUACAGCAUUUUACUUUUGUGAUCAAGCACAAGGCAAGUGCUCUUAACAAAAUUGCAGAUGCAUGGAGUAGGCGCCAAACUCUCCUUACAGAAAUGCAUGUGGAGGUUCCAGAAGUUGCGAAGGGUGUGCAGUCGGAGUUUGCAUGGGUUGAUGGUUUUCUUUUUCAUGGCAAUCAGUUGUAUAUUCUAGAGGGCAGUUUGAAGUUGAAGAUCAUUUAAGAAUUAUAUAAUGAGAGCCAUGUGGGUCCUGACUGAACAUUGGAGCUUGUUGCUGCUUCUUACUUUUGUCCAUCAUUGCGCAAAGAUGUCGGCAAGUUUGUGGAGCGUUGUCGGGUUUGCCACUUGCCCAAGGGUAAGGCGACAAAUGUGGGCCUGUAUAUGCCCUUGCCUAUUCCAACCCAGCCUUGGACAGACGUGAGCAUGGGUUUCGUUGUGGGACUCCCCAGGACUAAACGUGGGUUUGAUUCGAUCUUCGUAGUGGUUGAUCGAUUUUCAAAGAUGGUACAUUUCAUCCCCUGCAAGAAGACUACAGAUGCUAUCAACGUGGCAUUACUGUAUUUUCGUGAGGUUUAUCGCCUGCAUAGACUACCUACAUCUAUUAUGUCUGAUCGGGAUACUCGUUUCCUCAGCCACUUCUAGCGCAGCUUAUGGCGCUCGGUGAAUACAUGGUUGGACUUCAACAGUGCAUAUCACCUUCAGACAGAUGGUCAAAUAGAAGUUGUUAACCGUUCCUUGGGUGAUUUAUUACGUUGCCUGGUUGGUGAUCACAUCAAGUCUUGGGAUCAAAAGUUGUGUCAAGCAGAAUUUGCUCACAAUCAUGCUGUUAAUCGAAGUACAGGUUUUAGUCCGUUCCAGGUAGUGUAUGGCCUUGUUCCUCGUGGCCCUCUUGAUCUGGUUCCAGUUUCUACUUCUGUUAAAAUGCAUGGUAAGGCUGAAGACUUUAUUAAGCAAUUGCAGCAGGUUCACUCACAGGCUCAUGAUCAGUUGCAGGCUGCUGUCACUGAGUAUAAGUGUGCUGUGGAUCUUAAAUGCCGACAUGUUGAAUUUGAGGUAGGUGACUUUGUUUGGGUGAUGUUAACAAAGGAUCGUGUUCCUGCUCAUGAAUAUAACAAGCUUACUGCGAAGAAGAUUGGUCUAUUGGAGGUCAUUGAGAAGAUGCUUAUCGUUUGAAGUUGCCUAGCCAUAUUCGUACAUCUGACGUAUUCAAUAUCAAGCAUUUGGUACCAUUUCGUGGUGAUAAUUCUGAUGAGGAUGAAGCUUUUUCCCGUCAAAUUUGAGGGCGAAUUUUUCCCACCUUGGGGAGAAUGAUGAAGUGCAUAACAGAUUAGAGUUUAUGAUGAAAUGGGAUCGUCGCAAAGCAUAAAAGUGUGGUUUUUGAUUUCAUGAUAACUUCGGGUUUGUUCUUUUUGGCGAAUUGCUAGUCUAAUUUGAUUGGAAUCGAGCCAAUGAAUAAAACUCAACAUCUUUGGUCCUGACGCAAGGCUAAAUUUGGGCAAAAUCCAUCGUUUAGGCCCUCGUUCAGGCUUUUUGCUAUUUAUGAUAAUUUUUAUUUUUGGAAUAUAUUUUUCCAUAAAAUUCGAAUUUAUAUUCCAUUUGUUGGAGGAUGAUCCUGAAGAAAGGAUUUUCUAUCUUAGUAGUUAUCUCAUAUUUUUCUAUUUUUGAAAAAAUAUCUUUUUAUUUUAUUUUCUGAAUUUUGCUAAGUUUUUUUUUUUCUAUUAAAGGCAUUGUAAGCCCUUUGAGAUAAUAGUUCUUGAAUUCAAUAAAAUUUUCCUUGAGAGUUUUCUCAUUUUGUAAUUGUUCAUCUUCCCUAUAAUCUUCUGCUACGUCACAAGUCUUUCAAAUUGAAGUUAAGUUUCAUUAGUUUGUCCAUUCAUCAACGAAAAUCAAUUCAAGUAGCAAUAGCGUCCUUUUAGGUAUCAAGGCCGGCCCUGGCCCAAGGCAAACUAGGCAAAGGCCUAGGGCCUCAAAUUUUUGGGGGCCUCAUAAGUUAGGCCUAGUCCCCAAUAAGUUCAAAACCCACCCAAGGCUUGAGAAAGAAAAAAUAAGUAUAGGUUUAGCUAGUAGAGAGAGGAAGAAACGAGAUGAUUUAUUGAGCUAAUUUCUCCAAUUCCUUCCGUCAACGCCACUGGAGCAUCCCAAGAAGGAAACGACGAUCGAAGUCUGAAGCAUCCAAAAUCUGAAAUGGGUUGGUGGCCCUGUUGCUCUUUCAGCUAAAUCUAAAUUGGAAUGACUCUUUCGAAUAAGAAAUUGCAAGUGUUAUUUCUCCAAAUUUAUAAUGAACUUACCCGGCCUGUAGUAUGAAAGACAUUAUUGAAGAAGGCAAUUUGUUUGCUGCAACUAAUGGAAUAAAGUUUUCUUUCUUCUGAUUUUGUUAGGUAAGUUGUGAAAAUCCUUGUUUGCUCAUUGCUACUGAAUUGAGGAAAAAAGAGUAAGAUUGGUUCUAAAAAUAGGCAACAACUAUUGAAUCUUAUGAACUGAGCAGAAGGCAGUUUAUGUAGGUGGGUGGGGUCUAAUUGAUUGCAUAAUUUACUAAUGUUUUCUGUGCAGAAUUUGGAUCAAUUUUAAUUAAUGAUUAUCAGUUCGCUUGUACUAGUUGGAUGCUAACUAUCAUUUGUACCCUUAUUUUCAAAUGUUGAAGAUGAUUUUAAAGAUUUCCCCCCUUUUCCUCUCUUUUUUGAAGAGAUUCUUUUUUUUUUUCCUUUUUAAUUUAAUGGAUUUAUGGUAUUUCAUUACUGGUCUAUAUUCUAGAAUAAGAUCUUUUUUCAGUUUCUGCUUUAAAAUAUUCUCCAUUCUCACUAGUCGAAGUUGUAUAUGAUGAGCUCGUAUAAAAUUUGAAAUAACAUCGCUAAAAUUUCUGGAGACUCACGAGUGAUAAAUUGAAGUUGCUAAAACUUAUUAAAACAAUAGUAAAUAGAUAUUUCUUCCAACCUUGGUAAAGUGAUCAAAGUUCUCAAAACCAACCCUAGUAUAGAGGGCAAUGACGUUGCAGUAGAAAAUAUAAGUAUUGCUACGCCUAUAAAAAGAUUAUGUUUAAGGGCCUCAAAAUAAUUAGUCGUUUAGGGUCUCAAAAUUAUUAGGACCGGCCCUGUUUGGUAUAGUUGGUUGAUUCUGUCCACCUUUAUCUGUUUGCCACUUUUCGAGGCUAUCCUUCCUUGAGCAUUUGCUGAGGACCAUCAUAAAGCAGCUACUACUGCAGUCGAGUAUUUUGGACAGUUAUCUAUGGUUACCUUAGCGUGAAUUCUUGAUACAAAGUACAUGGUUGAAUUCAUUCAGUUUUUGUUUUUUGGAAAUUUGUUAUGCAAAUUGAUUUCGAUCAAUUUUUGAAUUAAUGUUUCUUGAAAUUGAGCCCCAAAUAUGGAUUUGGUCAACCAUAGAAUGAGGGUUUUUAUGACGAUUUUGCAUAUUUACAGCCAGAAUCUUAUCAUUCUAUCAGAAAUAUUGGCUAAAUUUGAACCGAACAUACAUUUUUUCAGAUGAUAUGCUUAAAGCAUGGAAGGAAAGCCCAUCUUCUAGAAGGGUCCACGGUUAGUGUAUUUGUGCAAUUUGUAAUCCAUCAAGAUCUUUUAAUGUUGUCACGGGACAUGCUAAUUCCUCGCUACCAGUACACUAGAAUAAUUGAGGAAAUUACAUGAGUUACUUGUUUGAAAUUAAAUAUUCAAAAAUUACACUACACAUUUUAUUAUUUCUAUACAUACUGCACUAUGAAAGUAUAUUUAGAAAACAAGAAAUCACUUAACUCUUCAAAUCCCACUCAAUUAACUUGGGGUCUCAUGCUAUCAUCAAUUACAUCCCACAGAAUUAGCUACAACCCCAAUCAUCCACAAAUUGCUCCCUUGUAUCAAAUCAUUCCAGUUUUGUUCUAAAACUUAAUACAAUUCUCUUCUUUGUUCACUCUAGAGUCUAG
rnacentral:lncRNA from 1 species